GCAGAUCGUGCAGUGCGGGGUGAGCGC
rnacentral:sRNA from 1 species